UUUACAAGGACUUCGAAUCCUCUGUGAAUUCCUUCAUUAAGGACUUGCAACCGUAUACUGACUAAUACAGGGAGGGGAAAAAAAACUUUUAACCAAGAAUCUCGAGAUUCAGGCGGGCAACAGAUCGACAGGAACCUCACCACUGCAUGUCUACAGUGGCGCGUGUCCUUCGUCACCUCACGAACAGAACUUGGAUAUUUAAUUUUAUUUUGUUACUUAUUUCCCUUUGUUUAAUUAUUCUGGUUUUCUGAAGACCGAUUCCGUUUCUGUGUGGACUUCGAUGUAUUUGUAAUCCUCCACCAUGUCCACACUGACCCCUUGGAUGGAAGGAGGAACUACUUCAUUGUGUGGAAUGAACUACCAACAGAGGUACCUCCCACAUCCCUCUGAGAGUGUCUAGUGAAACUCUUCUCUGGAUUGCAGUUCCUUCAGAUAGUCCUGGGUCCCAAGGCUCCUGUACCACUCCUUGAUGACAGCAUUGAGAAGAGGGCAUGUCCUGGGUGGUGGGAGUCCUCGAUGAUGAACGCUGCCUUUUCAAGCAAUUGAAGAUGCUGUGAAGACUAGUGCCCAUGAUGAAGCUGCCUGACUUAACAACCCUCUGCAACUUUUGAACUCAGUCCCAUCAAUGUGCUAGCAUCUUAGAAUCUUAGAGAAGUACAGCACAACCUACCACACGUGACUAUCCUUAGUCAGAGCACGUCUAUCCAAAUACUUAUACUCUGGUCCAGAGGGUACUUAUAUAUGUUUAGAACCUCUUUUAAACAGUGGAACAACAUUGGCUGUCCUCCAAACCUCUGGUAUUCUCCCUGUAACUAAGGAUGUUUUAAAUAUCUCUGCUAGGGCCGCAACCAUUCCUGCACUUGCCUCCCAAGAGAACACCUUGUCCAGUCCCUCCAGAUUUAUUCACCCUCAUUUGCCUCAGGAUAACAAACACCUCCUCCUCUGUAAUUUGUACAGGGUCCAUGACAUUGAUAGUGUUUUGUCUCACUUCUGUAUCCGUCUCCUGAGUAAGUACGGAUGCAAAGAAUUCAUUUGUGAUCUCCCCGUCUCCUCUGGCUCUACACUUGGAUUACCAAUCUGGUCUUCCAGAGGACCAAUUUUGACCCUUGCAGCCCUUUUGUUCUUAACAUAUCUGUAGAAUCCCUUAGAAUUCUCCUUCACCUUGUCUGCUGGAGCAACUUCAUGCCUUCUUUUAGCCCUCCUGAUUUCUUUCAUAAGUGUUCUGUUGCAUUUCUUGGACUCCAUAAGUACCUCAUGUGUUCCUACUUGCCUAUACCCACUAAACACCUUUUUCUCUCUUGAAAACCAAGGUUCCCUACACUUGCUACCUUUACCUUCUAUUCUGAGAGGCAUUUACAAGCUUUGUACUUUCAGAAUUUCAUUUUUAAAGGCUUCCCACUCUUCAAGUACAACUUUGCCAGAAAAUAGCCUGUCCCAAUUCACACUUGUCAGAUCAUUUCUGAUAUCAACAAAAUCGUCUUACUCCAAUUUAGGAUCUCAACUCACAGACCAGACCUAUCUCUUUGCAUAUAUUUAUUUUGAAACUAAUGGCAUUGUGGUCACUGGGUGCAGUGUUCUCCCACAAACUUCUGACACCUGCCCUGUCUCAUUCCCUAUUAGUAGCUCCAGUAUUGCAUACACUCUCAUUGGGACUCCUACGUACUGAUGAAGGAAACUUUCCUGAACACUUUUGACAAACUCUAUCCCAUCUAGUCCUUUUACAGUGUGGGAUUCCCAGUCAAUAUAUGGAAAGUUAAAAUCACCUUUCUUGUUCAUACUUUUCUUGGUCAUCCUUUUCUUGUUACUCAG